rnacentral:rRNA from 1 species
AUGCCACAUACAACACAUCGGUGGAGUGAAAGUGCAAACCAUUUGCUGAAAUGAUAUGUGCCACCAGGAUCCCCGAUGCACCUUUUCAUCAGGCAACAUGAGAAGAUGCAAUUUGACAGAGAUUCAGAGGAGAGUUAUCAAGAGAAGAGAACCAAACUGGGAUAG